rnacentral:sRNA from 1 species
AAACACAUCCAAGCAAAGAGAAGUUCAGAAAUCAUCGGAACUCUGUCCUAUGUACCCGGAAAGCCGCUUCAGAUGUUCUAGUAGAAAUUGACUUCGUCGGAAGUGAUCCAACACCGAGCCAUCUUUGUGCAAGGGACUUCAAGGAAAGUAACCCCCCAUGGGGAACAAGAGCGAAUUUAAGGAAAUAGCUUGUGUGAUUGAUAUUUCGUUUGUAUAUAUGUGCACCACUUUUGUCGCCUGGUGGUUUAAUCACGCUGUAGCGGAAACCCGCGGAAAAGUGGACCCACAUAGAAUGCGCGAGUGUGUGUACCACAGCGUACCACAGUAGGCCUACAUAUCUCAUAGAAAAAUAAUAAUGUCAGAAAAUGGGAUACACAACACUAUAAGUGAUUGUAUGUGGAUAUCUAUAAUUGGUCCAGUUAGGCUAGUUUUUACAAAAUCAGUUUUUAAGGAAUAGAAAUAAUUAAUAAUGAUCUUUUAAGUUUCUUAAUUCCGGGCGAAGCAAUCACUUCCGCGAAGUGAUGGUAUUGAAUGGUACAAGUCAAGUAAGAAAAAGGGGAAAAUCUUUAUGUUAAAGACACGUGGUGUUUUUCUUUUCCUUGUUGAUACACUCUAUUCAGAAAAAGAACUUUCUAAUUUCAUAUUUACUAAAUAUAGCACUGAUACAAAAUUAAUAUUUCCAACUGCCUUCAAAGCAUGGAAAUUGCUAUUUCUUUUCUUUUUAUUGAAAAUUAUUAAAGUCCAUCGUUUGCUUUAAAGAUGACUCGGCGAUGUAAAUUCUCUCUAACUGGCAAUACUCAUGACUGUACAUGCAAACUUAUUUUUUCUUUUAAUUUAUAGAUACGGUUUGGUGAUGCAACGGGUUCUGAGAAAAGGCGGUUUCCUUUUAUUUCUGUUUUAAUUAGACACCAAUGCAUUAAUUGAACGAUUAUUGAUCCGCUCUCACUCGCCAAAGAUUUCCUAGAAUCUAAAAGAUCAGGGAAUAGUGUUUGAUUGAGUUUGACAAAUAUUAAACAUUGAUGAAUUUGC